CCCCCUACGGGAGGCAGCAGUGGGGAAUAUUGCACAAUGGGGGAAACCCUGAUGCAGCGACGCCGCGUGAGUGAAGAAGUAAUUCGUUAUGUAAAUCUCUAUCAGCAGGGAAGAAAAUGACGGUACCUGAGUAAGAAGCCCCGGCUAACUACGUGCCAGCAGCCGCGGUAAUACGUAGGGGGCAAGCGUUAUCCGGAUUUACUGGGUGUAAAGGGAGCGCAGGCGGCACGGCAAGCCUGAUGUGAAAGCCCGCGGCCCAACC
rnacentral:rRNA from 1 species